rnacentral:rRNA from 1 species
GACGAACGCUGGCGGCGUGCUUAACACAUGCAAGUCGAACGGAAGGGCCCUGCUUUUGUGGGGUGCUCGAGUGGCGAACGGGUGAGUAACACGUGAGUAACCUGCCCUUGACUUUGGGAUAACUUCAGGAAACUGGGGCUAAUACCGGAUAGGAGCUCCUGCUGCAUGGUGGGGGUUGGAAAGUUUCGGCGGUUGGGGAUGGACUCGCGGCUUAUCAGCUUGUUGGUGGGGUAGUGGCUUACCAAGGCUUUGACGGGUAGCCGGCCUGAGAGGGUGACCGGCCACAUUGGGACUGAGAUACGGCCCAGACUCCUACGGGAGGCAGCAGUGGGGAAUAUUGCACAAUGGGCGGAAGCCUGAUGCGGCAACGCCGCGUGCGGGAUGACGGCCUUCGGGUUGUAAACCGCUUUCGCCUGUGACGAAGCGUGAGUGACGGUAAUGGGUAAAGAAGCACCGGCUAACUACGUG